UGGGGGAGCUGCUCUCUGGGGU
rnacentral:miRNA from 1 species